CAGAUAAUCCAGAAGCUAGGUGGAUUCAGGAACAACUUUCCAGAGUUCACACCAGUGACUAAAUCCGCACUUUUGAAGGAGCUGUAGCUCUGACCUUGUCUCAGUGGGUCCCGCGCUUCCAGGCGGAUUACGCUAGCCUCAGAGGCUCACUGUAACUCUCCACGUAGCCCUUCUCUCUCCAGAGGCAAGGGUCACAGCCUACUGAGCCAUUUUCAUCAUAAGCCAGCAAGGGAGCCAUCUGGCCUUGCCCCAUCACAGAGCGUAGAUGCCCAAUGAACAUAAUGAGACCCUGGAAUCUGCAACAGCUUGUCAGUAUCUUCCAUGAACAACUUCAGUCCAUCAAACAGGAAAUCCUUUACCAUAUUCAGGACUUCUCUGGGGAAACCAGACAACUAUAGCCAAGAUGCCCUGUGCAUUACCACUGCCGUGGAAAUGGAGCAGGCUACAGUGUCUGCAUCAUCCAGAGCUGCCUGGAAAGAUGUCCUCGCCAGUACCUGUCCCUCAGCA